AAAUAAACCCGAUGGGAACGAAUGCCGAUUUUUCUUCGGCAGCAGGGACAGCGGGGCUAAAG
rnacentral:sRNA from 1 species